rnacentral:rRNA from 1 species
UACGAAGGGGGCUAGCGUUGUUCGGAAUUACUGGGCGUAAAGCGCGCGCAAGUGGUCUUUCAAGUCAGUGGUGAAAGCCCGGAGCUCAACUCCGGAAAUGCCAUUGAAACUGUAAGACUUGAGGAUGAGAGAGGUGAGUGGAAUUCCCAGUGUAGAGGUGAAAUUCGUAGAUAUUGGGAAGAACACCGGUGGCGAAGGCGGCUCACUGGCUCAUAUCUGACGCUCAGGCGCGACAGCGUGGGGGAUCAAAACAGG